AACGAACGCUGGCGGCAUGCCUAAUACAUGCAAGUCGAACGAGAUCUUCGGAUCUAGUGGCGCACGGGUGCGUAACGCGUGGGAAUCUGCCCUUGGGUUCGGAAUAACGUCGGGAAACUGACGCUAAUACCGGAUGAUGACGUAAGUCCAAAGAUUUAUCGCCCAGGGAUGAGCCCGCGUAGGAUUAGCUAGUUGGUGAGGUAAAGGCUCACCAAGGCGACGAUCCUUAGCUGGUCUGAGAGGAUGAUCAGCCACACUGGGACUGAGACACGGCCCAGACUCCUACGGGAGGCAGCAGUAGGGAAUAUUGGACAAUGGGGGCAACCCUGAUCCAGCAGUGCCGCGUGAGUGAUGAAGGCCUUAGGGUUGUAAAGCUCUUUUACCCGAGAUGAUAAUGACAGUAUCGGGAGAAUAAGCUCCGGCUAACUCCGUGCCAGCCGCCGCGGUAAGAC
rnacentral:rRNA from 1 species